CAGUUUGGAGUUUGCAGUAGGAGAGGCAGAUGAGAAUGAAUGGAGAGACACCGUGCAGCUACACAGUGAAAAGAAAACACAGCUCACAUACUAUGUGUUUGAGGGCAUGCGCUACAUAUGGAUUGCCAGGAAAGGAGCCUUUUGCAAAGCAAGCAUUCUCAAUGAAGGCUGGACCUGCGCUGACCUGCAUGACCAACAACAAGGACUAAGUAAAGCAGACCAAAGCACAAGAAAGCAGAUUUUUGGGGCCAAUGUCAUUGAUGUACCUGUGAAGUCUUACUUACAGCUUCUCUUUGAGGAGGUAGACCGUUUCUCUAUUAC